UGAGUAGCUGGGAUUACAGGGAGAGGAUGAGAUCUUUCUGCUGCAGCACAAGAGGAGUGUGUUGGCUGUUGGAGGGACCUGUUGGCCAGGGAGAACUAAUGUCCACUACUGAAGCCGAUCUUGCUGUGUGUCUUCUCUAUAUGAGAGAACUGAAGCUCAAAUUAGACUAACUUGUUGAAGUCUGCCUAGCUAUCAAGUGGUAAAGGUAGGAUCUGAACCUAGAGCUGUAU